rnacentral:lncRNA from 1 species
CUGCUGUUUGUGUUGCAGUGCCCGUGGGAAGGCCGCAGAAAGAUGCGAAGAGGACGAUGAGGACAGUCCUGCCUCGCCGUACGCGGAAGAUACAGGAACAUCACAGCUGCAGUUUGGAGUUCUGGAACUCUCACAGAGCCAGGACCUGGAGUGUGAUGUCGCACCCGAUGAAGAUGUUAGGAAUCAGCUUCACUCUGGAGCUGCUAUCUUUUCUUCUUCCAGAACUGUGAAGAGUGAUAUUAAGGAUGAACUGAAUGUCAAAAGCAGGGAAACUGUCACCAGCAUAGAAACACGUUCUGCUUUGGAGGGCCAACCGAAGGCGUUUAAAGGAACACUGCUGGAUGCAG